rnacentral:rRNA from 1 species
CCUACGGGAGGCAGCAGUAGGGAAUCUUUCACAAUGGGCGAAAGCCUGAUGGAGCAACGCCGCGUGCAGGAUGAAGGCCUUCGGGUUGUAAACUGCUUUUAUCAGCGAGAAAUAUGAUGGUAACUUAUGAAUAAGGAUCGGCUAACUACGUGACAGCAGCCGCGGUCAUACGUAGGAUCCGAGCAUUAUCCGGAGUGACUGGGUGUAAAGAGUUGCGUAGGUGGCAUAAUAAGUAGCUAGUGAAAUCUGGUGGCUCAACCAUUCAGACUAUUAGCUAAACUGUUAAGCUCGAGACCGUUAGGGGUAACUGGAAUUUCUAGUGUAGGAGUGAAAUCCGUAGAUAUUAGAAGGAACACCAAUAGCGUAGGCAGGUUGCUGGGACGGUUCUGACACUAAGGCACGAAAGCGUAGGGAGCAAACGGGAUUAGAUACCCCUGUAGUC